rnacentral:rRNA from 1 species
AGCUGCGAGCGUGGUGGCCUUCCUUCGAAUUCCGCAUCAGACCCUGCCGUCAGCUGCCGGCCUGCUCGCGGCCGACAUCAACACAGCAGUAAUGGGGCAAGUCGAUGCCGCCCAGGCGGCCGCAAAGCCUCGGUGCACCUUUUACCUGGCGAAGAAGCGCCGCCACUGCCGCU